rnacentral:rRNA from 1 species
AUGGACUCAUUCUUUUUUCCUUGCGGGAUCUCAGGCAAGAUGACCAUACCCUCGAAAUCACUUCUAUCUUUGCUUGCUAGUUGUUCGCUCUAUUGCUAUGCCGCGUUACCUACCACUUGCUAUAUCAUGCCUUCCAUAUUACCAUGUCAAGCCUCUAACCAACCUUUCCUAGCAAACCGUUGUUUGGCUAUGUUACCGCUUUGCUCAGCCCCUCUUAUAGCAUUGCUAGUUGCAGGUGAAGAUGAAGUUUGUUCCAUGUUGGAACAUGGAUAUGUUGGGAUAUCACAAUAUCUAUUAUGUUAA